rnacentral:rRNA from 1 species
AUGGAGGGUUCCAAUUUGAGAGUUCCGGUAGAUGAUGGACUUAUCUUGAAGACAAGCAAGGGUGCAGGCACUGGUUUAACUGCUGGCAGCGUUUGGGGUUUGCUGGUUUCUAUGCUGCACGAUGGACCUAAGGUUGGCAGUAAUGUCAAGUAUCCUGAGCUGGUUAGAACUGGCAAGGUGUGUCGAAGUUACGCAGGAACCUUGGCAAUUCUUGGAGCCACAUAUGUAGGCGUGGAGCAAUCUCUUGAAAGGGUCAGGGGGAAGAAGGACAUCAUUAAUGGUGCUGUAGCUGGUUUUGCUGCGGGUGCAACUAUGGGUUUCAGAGCCGGGAGACUCCGGACACUCAUCGUGUCAGGGUCUGCGCUCGCUCUGACUUCGGUACUCUUGGAUGUGACUGGAAUGAGAACUACUGAGGAAGAAAAAGUCCAGCACUAA